GACAUAUAAUUCAAACAGACAACGAGAAUGGAACAUGAGCAAAGGUCCAACAUUAUGACAUUUUCCAGCCAAUACUCCCAAACAACUUAAGAGAGAUACUCUCUUCCCCUCUCUCCCCAUUAAAAGUUUUGCCUUCUUUCUCUUUCCCUUCCUAAACUCUCAAACUAGUCCGCAGGUCCUUAACACACAGUUCUUUCUCACCAGUCAAGCGGCCCAAAUAUGACCAACCAAACCGCGCUCAAUGCCAAUUAUAAACUCGGCCAACAUCAUUUAUGGAAACAACUACCAUUCAUAAAGCAAGCAGUCAACACAAAAUUUAACUAUUGCACGAAGUUUUGAUAAUCAAACAUGCCAAAUAAAUGUCUACCAAAAAUACAUAUGUAUGUCAGAAGCAAAAAAUCUAAAGCCGCAAAUAAAAAUCAGGACAAGGA